rnacentral:antisense_RNA from 1 species
ACCUUUACAGAAAAUAUCUUCCACGGAAACAUCUAAAGGCAAAAAUCCUUCAAAUUCAAAUUUAUCCAAUCAUUUCUUCUGCUUACUACCAUCCUAAAUCAUUUUUCUUUAGUAAGAUCUAUUAGUGGGAAGCUAUUAAGCUAUUAAUGUAUCAUAUUAAUUGUAUUCAGAUAUUAAGUGAGGAGGUAAAGUUGCAUUCACAGGCCUUGAACUUUUCCACAUCUCGAUUUUUACCCAUCAUCUCUGAAUAGUUCCCUAAGGCAGCCUUCAAAUGGUGAUGUUUCUUAUAAUCCAGAGUUCAGAAGUGGCUUCUCUUCAAUCUUUCUGUGGAAUUCUAAACCAUGUGAUAAAGGAGCUGGUGAGCCAGAUUUCCUUCUGCACCAGAGCCUGUGGAAGCGCCACAGUGGAAGCAGCAGAGACUGGAAGAGCAGGCAAGAAGCUGGGAGCUUUGCACUGAACCAGGAAGACACCACAGCUCUUAGGCAAAGACCCGGAAAGGUGUCAACAUGGCCACACUACUGCUCCCACCUUGUCCUUACUUUCCUCAUCUCACCCCCACAGGCCACAGAUCAGCCCUGGGGUUCAGAGGGAUCCUGACGGCUACUCCUCAAGAUCCUCUCUGUUGUGAUUCAUCCCCCCCGGGCCCUACAGUUUCUCCUUCCUGACUCUUACAUUUCUUUGGAUGGCAUCAUUAUUUACCUGUCUCCUCCCAUAGUUAGGUGCCAAGCACUGUGGAUUCUGCCCCUCAGUGUCCAGACACCCAUUU